rnacentral:lncRNA from 11 species
UUCCAUCAGAUGGGAACCAGCCAGGAGAAUGGGAUUGGCAAAGACAACUUCAGCCCAAAUUCUGGAGAAGCUGUGGAAAAGGAGCAGUCCAGAGAAUCUGGAAGGGACUCAAGAUCCAAAACAGUGGUGGAAAGACUUCGUGUUACUUUAAGGCACCACAAGAUUCUUUAUUGUAGUUUUUGCUGCAAACAAAGUAGCUAACGGGGAAGGAGGAUUCGCUUAAAAUGGAAUAUAAACAACUCAUAAAUGUAUGUAUUAAAACUCCUUCAUUGCAUGCCAUUUGUCACUAUGAUUGGGUAAGGAUAGUUUUGAGAGAAAAGGAAUGAAUUCAAUUGAUCUGAAAUAUCAGAUCUAUAUGUUCAAAUGUGCUAUGCAGAAAC